rnacentral:rRNA from 1 species
AUACGUAGGGGGCGAGCGUUGUCCGGAAUGAUUGGGCGUAAAGGGCGCGUAGGCGGCUUUGCAAGUCAGUAGUGGAAGUCCAUUUUUCAAGGAUGGAAGUGCUACAGAAACUGCGGAGCUUGAGUGCAGGAGAGGUUAUCGGAAUUCCCGGUGUAGCGGUGAAAUGCGUAGAGAUCGGGAGGAACACCAGUGGCGAAGGCGGGUAACUGGACUGAAACUGACGCGGAGGCGCGAAAGCUAGGGGAGCGAACAGGAUUAGAUCCCCUGGUAUUCCUAGCCGUAAACGAUGGACACUAGGUGUGGGGGGAUGUGCCCUCCGUGCCGCAGCUAACGCAUUAAGUGUCCCGCCUGGGGAGUACGGCCGCAAGGCUAAAACUCAAAUGAAUUGGCGGGG